rnacentral:rRNA from 1 species
AUUCAACGCUGGCGGCAGGCCUAACACAUGCAAGUCGAGCGAGCGGCGGACGGGUGAGUAAUGUAUGGGGACUGCCCGAUAGAGGGGGAUAACUACUGGAAACUGUUGCUAAUACCGCAUACUAUCGGAUAACCAAUUUGGGAUUAGCUAGUAGGUGGGGUAAAGGCUCACCUAGGCGACGAUCUCUAGCUGGUAGGAGAGGAUGAUCAGUCACACUGGAACUGAGACACGGCCCAGACUCCUACGGAGGCAGCAGUGGGGAAUAUUGGACAAUGGGCGAAAGCCUGAUGCAGCCAUGCCGCGUGUAUGAAGAAGGCCUUAGGGUUGUAAAGUACUUUCAGCGGGGAGGCGUUACCAGCAGAAGAAGCACCGGCUAACUCCGUGCCAGCAGCCGCGGUAAUUC